UGCUGGCUCACACAGCUUUGAUUUUGCAAGAUUAAAGUUUAAUUUUGUGAAGGAUUUUCUGCGUCUCCUGGUAGUUUUUUUAAAUAGAGCAUUGGUGAUUCUUCCACAACAAAUUUGUCAACGAGGACGGGAUCGGAAAGAGACCAUUCCCUCUGAAAAGAAGUUGCAGCUUCAAGGAGCUGGACCAGUAUUAAGGACUUUCCACGUGACUUGGUGAUGGGGAUGCUGGCUUCUGCGGAGUUAUUUCAGUGGUGACGAGAGUAAAGGACAUUCCUGAAAAAAAACGCAACAAUCUUUUUGAGUUGAGCUGACAUUAGGCGUUGGACACAAGAUCUGGUCGUGGCAAAACUGAAACAGCUGGUGGUGAUGUGGGAAGCCAAACGGUAGUAACCACCAGAAGUGAAAGUUAUUUUUAGACCUGGAGAGACCACAUCACAGGACCUUCGGAAAUCUUGGGGCCAGAUUUUCACUCCUGAGGCAGGUCAUGCAAGUUGGAAAAAUUCCCUUUUUUCAGAAACAGAUCUGAGGCAAAACAGAGGCCCAGAUGUGACAUCAUAUGAAACCUGUAACCUGCUUGUUCUGGAGACAGAAAUUCAAGUCCAAACUUAUGGUGCGAGACCUAUAAUACGAUAUAGCUUUGCCAAGCAAAGGAAAGGUCUGAUAUCCGGUCAAGCUCAAACCAGAGUGCUGAGGAAGAUGAAUCCUCAGUUUGAAGAAAUAAAAUUUGCAAAGAAUUAAAUACCAAAAGAAGAUGCCAGAAAGUGCCUUGUUACAGGAAGUCAAUGCAAUUAUGCUCAAAUUGACUGAGAAGUACAUUGAAAUGGUGGGACCUGGUGGAGCAAGUAGUACAUAUCCUGUGUAAACCAGGAAGUGCCUGGGACUUCAGUUGCAAGAAUUCAGACUUGAUAAUACAUAUCCCAGGAUAUCUGUUUUCACAGCUGGACAAAUAGUUUACUCAGGUGGCUAGCCAAUUCACUUCCCAUCCACCUGCAAACUCAUCGCCAUAACACAGAAGGUGUCAGGCUAUAAAGAGUCCACUGAACUUUAUAUUCCUACACCAAAAUACACUUGGUACAGACAGUUGAAUGAUGUGAAAAGUCCUUUUCAAUUUAGGUUAUAAAAUCAAUGGCUGGGCUAGGCUGCUAUCUUCAGUAGAAACUCUUUGCACAUGGAAGGCAUUCCUCUCCCCCACUUCUUACUAGCUGCCAGCUCUGAAAAACCUAUCCCCAGUCCUUCAUCCUGACAUUUUCAAGCCCUUACCAACCUGGACUUGUUCAGUCCAGGGUCCAUGCUUUGUUCUUCAUGGCCCUGACUGCAGUACCAGCAGCAACCAGGACUGAGCCACACAAUUCUGCUAAGAGUGCAGAGUAAUGUAUAAAUAUGGUAUGGGCUGUUCAUUUGCAUUAAUAAAUUAACAGGAAAACCUUUUCUGUAGUUUAGUGUAUUUUAGAAUCAUGGAAUCACCUUAUGGUAUAUAGUUGCUUUAGUUUUGUAUUACAGUGACAGUCUUAAUAUGUGAAACCUUACAUGAUUUUUUGCAUUGGUAAUUGGGAAAUUCAACCCCGCUUUUCAAAGAAAUUGGUCCCUACAGACUGUAUCAAACAGCACUCUGUACUCAUGCAAUAUAAAAUAUUGGUU